rnacentral:rRNA from 1 species
UACAGAGGGUGCGAGCGUUAUUCGGAUUCAUUGGGCGUAAAGCGCAUGUAGGCGGUUUGAUAAGUUUGAUGUGAAAUCCCAGAGCUCAAAUCUGGAAGUGCAUUGAAUACUGUCGAACUAGAGUAUAGGAGAGGAGAGCGGAAUUUCUGGUGUAGAGGUGAAAUUCGUAGAUAUCAGAAGGAACAACAGUGGCGAAGGCGGCUCUCUGGACUAUCACUGACGCUGAGAUGCGAAAGCGUGGGGAGCAAACAGG